rnacentral:rRNA from 1 species
UACGUAGGGGGCGAGCGUUGUCCGGAAUUAUUGGGCGUAAAGAGCGUGUAGGCUGUUCGGUAAGUCUGCCGUGAAAACCUGAGGCUCAACCUCGGGCGUGCGGUGGAUACUGCCGGGCUAGAGGACGGUAGAGGCGAGUGGAAUUCCCGGUGUAGCGGUGAAAUGCGCAGAUAUCAGGAGGAACACCAAUAGCGAAGGCAGCUCGCUGGGACGUUACUGACACUGAGGCGCGAAAGCGUGGGGAGCGAACAGG